rnacentral:rRNA from 1 species
UACAGAGGUCUCAAGCGUUGUUCGGAUUCAUUGGGCGUAAAGGGUGCGUAGGCGGCGCGGUAAGUCGGGUGUGAAAUCUCGGAGCUUAACUCCGAAACUGCAUUCGAUACUGCCGUGCUUUGAGGACUGGAGAGGAGACUGGAAUUUUACGGUGUAGCGGUGAAAUGCGUAGAUAUCGUAAGGAAGACCAGUGGCGAAGGCGGCUCACUGGUCCAUAACUGACGCUGAGGCUCGAAAGCGUGGGGAGCGAACAGG